rnacentral:rRNA from 1 species
AUCAAUAAGCGGAGGAAAAGAAACCAACAGGGAUUGCCUCAGUAACGGCGAGUGAAGCGGCAACAGCUCAAAUUUGAAAUCUGGCUCUCGGGCCCGAGUUGUAAUUUGCAGAGGAUGUUUCUGGCGAGGUGCCUUCCGAGUUCCCUGGAACGGGACGCCAUAGAGGGUGAGAGCCCCGUCCGGUUGGUCGCUAAGCCUCUGUGAAACUCCUUCGACGAGUCGAGUAGUUUGGGAAUGCUGCUCUAAAUGGGAGGUAUACGUCUUCUAAAGCUAAAUACCGGCCAGAGACCGAUAGCGCACAAGUAGAGUGAUCGAAAGAUGAAAAGCACUUUGAAAAGAGGGUUAAAUAGUACGUGAAAUUGUUGAAAGGGAAGCGUUUAUGACCAGACUUGGGCCGGUUGAUCAUCCAUCGUUCUCGGUGGUGCACUCUGCCGGCUCAGGCCAGCAUCAGUUUGGCUUGGGGGAUAAAGGUUUCGGGAAUGUGGCUCCCUCGGGAGUGUUAUAGCCCGUUGCGUAAUACCCUGGGCUAGACUGAGGUUCGCGCUCCGCAAGGAUGCUGGCGUAAUGGUCAUCAGCGACCCGUCUUGAAACACGGACCAAGGAGUCGUCUUCGUAUGCGAGUGUUCGGGUGUCAAACCCCUACGCGUAAUGAAAGUGAACGUAGGAGAGAGCUUCGGCGCAUCUCCGACCGAUCCUGAUGUUCUCGGAUGGAUUUGAGUAAGAGCAUACGGGGCCGGACCCGAAAGAAGGUGAACUAUGCCUGUAUAGGGUGAAGCCAGAGGAAACUCUGGUGGAGGCUCGCAGCGGUUCUGACGUGCAAAUCGAUCGUCAAAUAUGGGCAUGGGGGCGAAAGACUAAUCGAACCUUCUAGUA